ACAGGGUGACAGGUGGUGCAUGGUUGUCGUCAGCUCGUGUCGUGAGAUGUUGGGUUAAGUCCCGCAACGAGCGCAACCCUCGACCUUAGUUGCCAGCAUUCAGUUGGGCACUCUAAGGUGACUGCCGGCUAAAGUCGGAGGAAGGUGGGGAUGACGUCAAAUCAUCAUCGCCCCUUAUGACCUGGGCUACACACGUGCUACAAUGGGCGGUACAAAGGGUCGCGAACCCGCGAGGGGGGGGCCAAUCCCAAAAAGCCGCUCUCAGUUCGGAUUGCAGGCUGCAACUCGCCUGCAUGAAGCCGGAAUCGCUAGUAAUCGCGGAUCAGCAUGCCGCGGUGAAUACGUUCCCGGGCCUU
rnacentral:rRNA from 1 species